AACGUAGGUGGCAAACGUUAUCCGGAUUUACUGGGCGUAAAGAGUGCGCAGGCGGCCUUUCAAGUCGGAUGUAAAAUCUCCUGGCUUAACUGGGAGGGACCAUCCGAUACUGUUGGGCUUGAGUACAACAGAGGAGAGUGGAAUUCCCGGUGUAGUGGUGGAAUGCGUAGAUAUCGGGAGGAACACCAGUGGCGAAAGCGGCUCUCUGGGUUGUAACUGACGCUGAUGCACAAAAGCGUGGGUAGCAAACAGG
rnacentral:rRNA from 1 species